CANUAANCGGAGGAAAAGAAACCAACAGGGAUUGCCCCAGUAACGGCGAGUGAAGCGGCAGCAGCUCAAAUUUGAAAUCUGGCCCCCCGGGGCCCGAGUUGUAAUUUGCAGAGGAUGCUUUUGGCGAGGCGCCUUCCGAGUUCCCUGGAACGGGACGCCGCAGAGGGUGAGAGCCCCGUCCGGUCGGAAGCCGAGCCUCUGUAAAGCUCCUUCGACGAGUCGAGUAGUUUGGGAAUGCUGCUCUAAACGGGAGGUAUAUGUCUUCUAAAGCUAAAUACCGGCCAGAGACCGAUAGCGCACAAGUAGAGUGAUCGAAAGAUGAAAAGCACUUUGAAAAGAGGGUUAAACAGUACGUGAAAUUGUUGAAAGGGAAGCGCUCACGACCAGACUCGGGCCCGGCGGAUCAUCCGGCGUUCUCGCCGGUGCACUCCGCCGGGCUUCCGGGCCAGCAUCAGUUCGCGCCGGGGGACAAAGGCUCGGGGAAUGUAGCUCCCCCGGGAGUGUUAUAGCCCCCCGCGCAAUGCCCCGGGGCGGACUGAGGUUCGCGCGUCCCGCAAGGAUGCUGGCGUAAUGGUCGUCAGCGACCCGUCUUGAAACACGGACCAAGGAGUCGUCUUCGUAUGCGAGUGUUCGGGUGUGAAACCCCUGCGCGUAAUGAAAGUGAACGCGGGUGAGAGCUUCGGCGCAUCAUCGACCGAUCCUGAUGUUCUCGGAUGGAUUUGAGUAGGAGCAUACGGGGCCGGACCCGAAAGAAGGUGAACUAUGCCUGUGUAGGGUGAAGCCAGAGGAAACUCUGGUGGAGGCUCGCAGCGGUUCUGACGUGCAAAUCGAUCGUCAAACAUGGGCAUGGGGGCGAAAGACUAAUCGAACCUUCUAGUAGCUGGUUCCCGCCGAAGUUUCCCUCAGGAUAGCAGUGUCGAGUCUCAGUUUUAUGAGGUAAAGCGAAUGAUUAGGGACCCGGGGG
rnacentral:rRNA from 1 species